GAUGAACGCUGGCGGCGUGCCUAAUACAUGCAAGUCGAGCGAACGGACGAGAAGCUUGCUUCUCUGAUGUUAGCGGCGGACGGGUGAGUAACACGUGGAUAACCUACCUAUAAGACUGGGAUAACUUCGGGAAACCGGAGCUAAUACCGGAUAAUAUUUUGAACCGCAUGGUCCAAAAGUGAAAGACGGUCUUGCUGUCACUUAUAGAUGGAUCCGCGCUGCAUUAGCUAGUUGGUAAGGUAACGGCUUACCAAGGCAACGAUGCAUAGCCGACCUGAGAGGGUGAUCGGCCACACUGGAACUGAGACACGGUCCAGACUCCUACGGGAGGCAGCAGUAGGGAAUCUUCCGCAAAGGGCGAAAGCCUGACGGAGCAACGCCGCGUGAGUGAUGAAGGUCUUCGGAUCGUAAAACUCUGUUAUUAGGGAAGAACAUAUGUGUAAGUAACUGUGCACAUCUUGACGGUACCUAAUCAGAAAGCCACGGCUAACUACGUG
rnacentral:rRNA from 1 species